AAAAAAUCAGACGGAAAGGCUAUGUUUUUAUUAAAAUUUGUGAAAAGGAAAUGGUAGCUGUGGGUGAAGAAACUAAUGGAAGGGCGGACAUAUCAAUGUACAAACUAACACACAUCCAACUCAGUCCCAUUUAUUUGUUUCUUUCAGCUAUAAAUCAAUAAAUUUCCUUGCAAAAACUCUAAAUUUCUAUUAGAUCACCAUUCCAUUUAUCUCCUCGAUACUAUCGGAAUUUAAAUCACCGAUGGAGUCCGCCGCCGUUCUCCGCUCCUUCCAUUGUCAGUCCUCUCUCUACAUAUUUUAAUUGUAUACAUACAUAUUGCUUCCGAAUUUCAGCUUCAAUUUAUGAUAUAUACCUUUACACAGCUUUGCAUUUUAUUUUUUGUUCUACUAUUCAUGUCGUUUUUUAUUUUGAUGAUAAUUAUUGGCUACAUAGCGUUCUGGAAAUUGAAAAAAUAAAAACGGAAUGUGCUAUAUAGUUCUGAUUUUAUCAAGUAGCUUAUGCCAGACGUUUGAAGUUUCUUUUGGCCCUUUAAUUCUUAUUCUGCACUAUUUUAGUUCCAAACUGUAGGAAAGAAUUCUGAAAAUCUUAAUUACCGGCUUGUAAAUGGUUUUAAAUUCCUCAAUUAAUUUGACUUUUUAACUUUGGGAUUUUGAUUUAGGUGAACUAAUUUAUGCUAACUAAUUAAUAAUACAUAAAUCAGUCAGUGUGAACUGUCAAGUUCAGAAAAAUUAGUCAUUUGUGUUCUAAUUUUGUGAACUAUUUUAGAUAAGUCAUCCCUUCUGCUCUAAGUGGAAUAAUGUAAACUUCUCAACAAUUGUACCAUUGUCCAUGUUCUUACUGCACAAGUGUUGCAAAACCGCUACCCACCAUAUUUUGUUUUUAAUUUAUUUCUGUAAGUAACUUCAAAGUGAGUUAAUUGUUCCAAAGGUCAUUGAAUUUAGAUCCA
rnacentral:lncRNA from 1 species